rnacentral:rRNA from 1 species
GUGUCAGCAGCCGCGGUAACACGGGGGGAGCAAGCGUUGUUCGGAAUCACUGGGCGUAAAGGGCGUGUAGGCGGUCAAGUAAGUGGAAUGUGAAAUCCCCCGGCUUACCCGGGGACCUGCAUCCCAAACUGCUUGGCUUGAGUAUGGGAGAGGAUGAGGGAAUUCCUGGUGUAGCGGUGAAAUGCGUAGAUAUCAGGAGGAACACCGGUGGCGAAAGCGCUCAUCUGGCCCAAUACUGACGCUGAUGCGCGAAAGCUAGGGGAGCAAACGGGAUUAGAUACCCCGGUAGUCCUAGCCGUAAACGGUGAGCACUAGGUGUUGGAGGCAUCGACCCCUCCAGUGCCGCAGCUAACGCAUUAAGUGCUCCGCCUGGGGAGUACGGCCGCAAGGUUGAA